UACAGAGGGGGCAAGCGUUAUUCGGAAUUAUUGGGCGUAAAGGGCGCGUAGGCGGCCUGACAAGUGGAAGGUGAAAUCCCUCGGCUUAACCGAGGAACUGCCCUCCAAACUGUCUGGCUUGAGACCGGGAGAGGUGAGUGGAAUUCCCAGUGUAGCGGUGAAAUGCGCAGAUAUCAGGAGGAACACCAAUGGCGAAGGCAGCACUCUGGGACGUGACUGACGCUGAGACGCGAAAGCGUGGGGAGCAAACAGG
rnacentral:rRNA from 1 species